GACUGGCGGUGUCCACCGUGUCGAGGCAUAUGUAACUGCAGUUUCUGCCGUGCCAGAGACGGACGCUGCCCAACUGGAAUCCUGUUCCCUCUGGCUCAGUUCCAAGGCUUCUCUGAUGUCCACUCUUACCUCAGCAGUCUUCACAGUAAACUGACAAAUGAGGACUGAGGAUCUGAAUGGGAGCCUCGAUGUCCUUAUCUGACCACCAGGGGGAGCAGUUGCAAAUCACUGAUCCGGGAAUACAGAAGUUUUGCACCUAAUCCAGAUGAGGUUUAUGUUCUAUAGCUCUAACAUGGUUUCUACUGCUGUUUUUGAUAUGAAUGUUGAUUUUAAUCAGAUUUUUUUUCAAAUAAAUGAUUUGUCGUUCACUUUA